CGCAGGAAAAGAAAUCAACCGAGACUCCCAAAGUAGUGGCGAGCGAAAUGGGACCAGCCUGUACUCUUUAUUCUCAUUGUUAGUCGAACACUCUGGAAAGUGCGGCCAUAGCAGGUGAUAGCCCUGUAGACGAAAACAGCGAGGAAGAACUAGGUGUACGACAAGUAGGGCGGGGCACGUGAAAUCCUGUCUGAAGAUGGGGGGACCAUCCUCCAAGGCUAAAUACUCGUGAUCGACCGAUAGUGAACCAGUACCGUGAGGGAAAGGCGAAAAGAACCCCGGGAGGGGAGUGAAACAGAUCCUGAAACCGCAUGCAUACAAACAGUCGGAGCCUCGCAAGGGGUGACGGCGUACCUUUUGUAUAAUGGGUCAGCGACUUACAUUCAGUGGCAAGCUUAACCGAUUAGGGCAGGCGUAGCGAAAGCGAGUCCGAACAGGGCGUUCAGUCGCUGGGUGUAGACCCGAAACCAGGUGAUCUAUCCAUGGCCAGGAUGAAGGUGCGGUAACACGUACUGGAGGUCCGAACCCACUAACGUUGAAAAGUUAGGGGAUGAGCUGUGGAUAGGGGUGAAAGGCUAAACAAACCUGGAAAUAGCUGGUUCUCUCCGAAAACUAUUUAGGUAGUGCCCCGUGUAUCACCUUCGGGGGUAGAGCACUGUCAUGGUUGUAGGGUCCAUUGCGGAUUACUACGCCAUAGCAAACUCCGAAUACCGAAGAGUGCAAUCACGGGAGGCAGACAUCGGGUGCUAACGUCCGGUGUCAAGAGGGAAACAACCCAGACCGCCAGCUAAGGUCCCCCAAUAUGGCUAAGUGGGAAACGAAGUGGGAAGGCUAAAACAGUCAGGAGGUUGGCUUAGAAGCAGUCAUCCUUUAAAGAAAGCGUAAUAGCUCACUGAUCGAGUCGUUCUGCGCGGAAGAUGUAAUGGGGCUAAGCCAUAUACCGAAGCUGCGGAUGCAUAUUUUUAUAUGCAUGGUAGGAGAGCGUUCCGUAAGCCAGCGAAGGUGCACUGGAAAGUGUGCUGGAGGUAUCGGAAGUGCGAAUGCUGACAUGAGUAGCGAUAAAGGGGGUGAAAGGCCCCCUCGCCGUAAGCCCAAGGUUUCCUACGCAACGUUCAUCGGCGUAGGGUGAGUCGGCCCCUAAGGCGAGGCAGAAAUGCGUAGCUGAUGGGAAGCAGGUUAAUAUUCCUGCACCAUUGUUAAAUGCGAUGGGGGGACGGGUCGCGGAAGGUUGUCCGGGUGUUGGAAGUCCCGGUCCUUGCAUUGGAGAAGGCGCUUUGGCAAAUCCGGGCGCGGAAUUCAAGGGUGUGAGACCAGUCACUCAGGUGACGAAGCAACUGGAAGUGGUUCCAAGAAAAGCCUCUAAGCUUCAGUUUAACAAGACCGUACCGCAAACCGACACAGGUGGGCGAGAUGAGUAUUCUAAGGCGCUUGAGAGAACUCGGGAGAAGGAACUUGGCAAAUUGGUACCGUAACUUCGGGAUAAGGUACGCCCCUGUAGCUUGACUGGCCUGCGCCAGAAGGGUGAAGGGGUUGCAAUAAACUGGUGGCUGCGACUGUUUAAUAAAAACACAGCACUCUGCAAACACGAAAGUGGACGUAUAGGGUGUGACGCCUGCCCGGUGCCGGAAGAUUAAAUGAUGGGGUGCAAGCUCUUGAUUGAAGUCCCGGUAAACGGCGGCCGUAACUAUAACGGUCCUAAGGUAGCGAAAUUCCUUGUCGGGUAAGUUCCGACCUGCACGAAUGGCGUAACGAUGGCCACACUGUCUCCUCCCGAGACUCAGCGAAGUUGAAGUGUUUGUGAUGAUGCAAUCUCCCCGCGGCUAGACGGAAAGACCCCAUGAACCUUUACUGUAGCUUUGCAUUGGACUUUGAACCGGUCUGUGUAGGAUAGGUGGGAGGCUUUGAAGCGUGGACGCCAGUCUGCGUGGAGCCAUCCUUGAAAUACCACCCUGGUUUGUUUGAGGUUCUAACCUUGGUCCGUAAUCCGGAUCGGGGACAGUGCAUGGUAGGCAGUUUGACUGGGGCGGUCUCCUCCCAAAAUGUAACGGAGGAGUACGAAGGUACGCUAGGUACGGUCGGAAAUCGUGCUGAUAGUGCAAUGGCAUAAGCGUGCUUAACUGCGAGACCGACAAGUCGAGCAGGUGCGAAAGCAGGUCAUAGUGAUCCGGUGGUUCUGUAUGGAAGGGCCAUCGCUCAACGGAUAAAAGGUACUCUGGGGAUAACAGGCUGAUACCGCCCAAGAGUUCAUAUCGACGGCGGUGUUUGGCACCUCGAUGUCGGCUCAUCUCAUCCUGGGGCUGUAGCCGGUCCCAAGGGUAUGGCUGUUCGCCAUUUAAAGAGGUACGUGAGCUGGGUUUAAAACGUCGUGAGACAGUUUGGUCCCUAUCUGCCGUGGGCGCUGGAUAUUUGAAGGGGGCUGCUCCUAGUACGAGAGGACCGGAGUGGACGAACCUCUGGUGUACCGGUUGUCACGCCAGUGGCAUCGCCGGGUAGCUAUGUUCGGAAGAGAUAACCGCUGAAAGCAUCUAAGCGGGAAACUCGCCUUAAGAUGAGAUAUCCCCGGGCUUCGAGCCCCUUGAAGGGUCGUUCAAGACCAGGACGUUGAUAGGUCAGGUGUGGAAGCGCAGUAAUGCGUUAAGCUAACUGAUACUAAUUGCCCGUAAGGCUUGAUCCUAU
rnacentral:rRNA from 1 species